rnacentral:rRNA from 1 species
GAUGAACGCUGGCGGCGUGCCUAAUACAUGCAAGUCGAGCGGACGGACGAUAAGCUUGCGUCGCUGAUGUUAGCGGAGGACGGGUGAGUAACACGUGGAUAACCUACUUAUAAGACUGGGAUAAUUUCGGGAAACCGGAUCUAAUAGCGGAGAAUAUUUUGAACCGCAUGGUUCAAAAGUGAAAGUCGGCCUUGCUGGCACGUAUAGAUGGAUCCGCGCUUCAUGAGGUAGUUGGUAAGUUAACGGCUUAUCAAGGCGACGAUGCAUAGACGACCUAAGAGGCUGAUCGGCCACACUGGAACGGAGACACGGUCAAGACUCCUACGGGAGGCAGCAGUCGGCAAUCUUCCGCAAUGGGCGAAAGCCUGACGCAGCAACGCCGCGUGAGUGAUGAAGGUCUUCGGAUCGUAAAGCUCUGUUAUUAGGGGAGAACAUCUGUGUACGUAACUGUGGCCAUCUUGACGGUACCUAGUCAGAAAGCCCCGGCUAACUACGUG